rnacentral:rRNA from 1 species
AUGGGUCUCGUCUGCUCGGCUCCCAAGGUCUACAAGCCGGCGGCCGAGGUCGACCUCGGCCCCGACAGCGACGAGCACUACAUCAGUCCCAACGUCAAAGCUCCUCGGGUGGCUGGGCUUCCGGUGAAGAUGUUCGCGUGGGUGCUGGAGACGCCCGUCCUCGGCUCCGUCGUGCUCUACGUCCUCAAGAAAGACAACCUCGUCAACAAGCUCGUCUCCGACGCCGACAUCCCGGAGCCGCCAUUGUUCACUCCCACUCACACCUGGCAAGACAUCCCUGAGCAGAACGUGAGCCUGGCCAAGCCCGGGUGGUCGCCGGCGGAGCGUGUUGAGGAGGCCGUCGGCUGCCUCCCUGGCCUCGCCGACCCGUCAUCGCCGGGCUUCAGGCGCUGGACGAUCCGGGAUUUCACCAAGGCCUACACUUCAGGAGAGAUCACUCCUGUCAUGGUGGCGAGGAGGUUUCUGGCGGCGGUGGAGGAGUGCUCGGGCCCAGACCUGAACAUGGCCCUGUUCAUCAGCUACGACCCCGAAGACAUCCUCAGGCAGGCCGAGGAGUCCACCCUCAGAUACCAGCAAGGGGCGCCUCUGUCUGCCAUGGAUGGGGUGCUGGUGGCAGUCAAGGACGAGAUCGAUUGCCUGCCCCACCAAACAACCGGAGGCACGAGUUGGCUGGGAAAGAUGAGGCCGUGCGUGGCGGACGCGGCGUGCGUGGCGCAGCUGCGGGCCUGCGGCGCCGUCCUGGCCGGCAAGACCAACAUGCACGAGCUCGGCGCCGGCACCAGCGGCAUCAACCCGCACCACGGCUCCACCAGGAACCCCUACCACACCGCCAGGGUGUCGGGCGGCUCGUCCAGCGGCUCCGCGGCCGCCGUCUGCGCCGGCCUCUGCCCCGUCGCCCUCGGCGCCGACGGAGGCGGAUCCGUUCGCAUGCCCGCGGCGCUCUGCGGCGUCGUCGGCUUCAAGCCCACCGCAGGCCGGCUCUCCAACUCGGGGCUUCUCCCGUUGAACUGGACGGUGGGGGUGCCGGGGAUCUUGGCGGCGACGGUCGAGGACGCACUUGUCGCCUACGCGGCCAUGGUUGAUCAGUCUGGACCAGCUCACUCCCAGCCCCAGCUGAAUCUGCCAUUGCUGACGUCCACCCAUUCCAUGCCUAACAUCAGGCUAGCAAGAUACGGAAAGUGGUUCGACGACAGCUCCGAGGACAUCCGGGGCUGCUGCGACAAGGCUCUGCAGAUCCUGCGCGCGCACUACGGGUGGGAGACCGUGGACGUGACGGUGCCUGAGGUGGAGGAGAUGCGUCUGGCGCACUACGUGACCAUGGGCUCCGAGUGCUCCGCUUCCCUCGCCACCAAAUACCUCGACAAACUGGACAAGUCCGAGAUCGGGUGGGACGUGAGGAUCGCGCUGAGCGCCUACGGCUCCUUCAGCAGCAGGGCUUACCUCAACGCGCAGCGGAUUCGAAACCGUCAGAUGUACUUCCACAACAAGAUCUUCGAGACGGCCGACGCCAUCGUUACACCCAUGACUGGCGUGACCGCGUACGCGCUGCAGGACGACGCGCUGCGCACCGGAGAACUCGAUUACAUAAACGCAGCCGCGAUCUCGAGGUACUCCAUCGCAGGGAACUUCCUCGGCUUGCCGGCCAUCACCGUCACGGUCGGGUACGACAGGGGAGGCCUCCCCGUCGGCCUCCAGUUCAUCGGCCGGCCGUGGGCGGAGGCGACGCUGCUGCAUUUAGCCUACGCCAUGCAGGAAGCGUGCUCUAAGAGCUGCAGGAAACCCAUGGUGUCCUUUGAUCUCCUCAGCAAGAAAGAGUAG